AGUGAUAUAGCUCAGUGGCACAGCACACACCUGAAAAGUGCAAGGUCCUGAGUUUGAUUCCCAGUACCAAUA
rnacentral:tRNA from 1 species